rnacentral:lncRNA from 1 species
GGGUUCAGUUUCUCCGCUCUCGAAGAGCGAAACUGAGAAUCGAAACUGCGCUGGAUUCCAUGCAGCAGGAUCCGGAACCUGCCGGAUCUCCGGGGCCCCAGCAGGACCCCGCACUGCCCCACUCCCCCAGCAUGCCUCCCCCGGAGGCACUCUCCGAAGGCCACCAGUCCAGCCAUAGCGACAGCCCCACAGAGCAAGCCACGGAGGAAGAGUUCCAGUUCUUGCGCUGCCAGGGCUGCCGGGCAGAAGCUAAGUGCCCCAAGCUGCUGCCUUGUCUGCAUACGCUGUGCUCAGGAUGCCUGGAGGAGUCCGGCAUACAGUGCCCCGUCUGCCAGGCUCCCUGGCCCUCAGGUGCCGGCGCGCAGGCCCUGGACAACGUCUUCUUCGAGAGCCUGCAGCGGCGGCUGUCGGUGUACCAGCAGAUCGCACGCGAGCAGGCGUUUUGCACCCGCUGCAAAGAGCUGGCCCACUACUGGUGCUUCGAGUGUGAGCAGCUCAUCUGCGCCAAGUGCUUCGAGGCGCACCAGUGGUUCCUCAAGCACGAGGCCCGGCCGCUGGCGGAGCUCCGCAGCCAGUCGGUGCGGGAGUUUCUGGACGGCACCCGCAAGUCCAACAACAUCUUCUGCUCCAACCCCAACCACCGCAGCCCUAUGCUGACCAGCAUCUACUGCCGAGGCUGCUCCAAGCCCUUGUGCUGCUCGUGCGCUCUCCUGGAUAGGGACCACGGCGAGCUCAAGUGCGACAUCAGCAUGGAGAUCCAGCAGCGGCAGGAUGAGCUGGACACCAUGACCCAGGACCUGCAGGAGCAGGACCGCAGCUUCGGGGCAGCGCAGGCGCAGAUGCGCUCUGCCAUCAGCCAGCUGGGCCGUGUACGCGCCGACACUGAGGAGUUCAUCCGUGAGCGCGUGCGCGAGGUGGUAGCGCACGUGCUAGAGCAGGAGCGUGAGCUGCUGGAAGGCGUGGGUGCGCGGUACCAGCGCGACUAUGAAGAGAUAGCGGGCCAGCUGGGCCGGCUGGAUGCUGUACUGCAGCGGAUCCGUAUGGGCAGCGUGCUGGUGCAGAGGAUGAAACUAUACGCCUCGGAUCAGGAGGUGCUGGACAUGCAUGACUUCCUGCGCAAGGCACUCCACCAGCUGCGCCAAGAGGAGCCCCAGAGUCUGCGAGCCACUGUGCACACAGACAGCUUCAACGAAUUCAGGGUGCGCCUGCAGGGCCUCGUCUCUUGCAUCACCCAGGGUAGAGAUGCAGCUCUAUCCAGGAGAGCCAGCCCAGAAGCUGCCAGCACUCCCAGAGACACUUGUGGCCCUGACCCGGAGGGCACCCACACGCAGAAGAGGAAGGCCUGCCAGACCGAGUGCCCCCGGAAGGUCAUCAAGAUGGAGUCUGAGGAGGGGGAAGAGUCUAGGUUGGCUCAGAGCUCCCCUGAGCAGCCCAGGCCCAGCACCUCCAGGGCAGUCUCGCCACCCCACCUGGAUGGGCCCUCCAGCCCCAAGAGCCCCAUCAUAAGAGAUGAGCUCCCCUUGCCUGAAAGCAACCAUCAAACCGGCGACCCUGCAGAGACAGGUAGGGAGUGGGGAUGGGCAGGAUGGGCUGAGGCCUGCAUGCUGUCUUCCAGGGGCUGGGUGGGACCCCUCCUCUGCAUCCUCGCCCUUCCCAGGAAGCCCAAGGCAAGCAGCAUUCCCUGUGUGUCUUGCCCUCAGCUGCCACCAAAUGGGGAAGGGCAAGCCCAGGGUUUGUCUGGGGGGGGUAGCGCGGAUGGUUUAGCCCAUGCUUUUCUGGGA